UCAUACUUCCUUUAGGUUUAAGGUGGAUCUCGUGGGUCUCUUUGCUUCCUCUUUUGCCAUCCAUAUUAACUUUGCACCCUAGUGUGCUUAGUCCUCAAGUGAUGCGAAAGUUUAGAAACCGGUUGCAUUAUUUCAAGAAAUGGGUUAAAAAGAUCAUUUUUUAGAGAAACAUGAGAAACCUAAUGCUGUGAAAGUGAUCGUGAUUUUUUUGUGCAAAAAGUAAACGGCCUCUUUGUAUUAUGUAGAGUUUUC
rnacentral:lncRNA from 1 species